GGAACAAAAAAAAGCUCCCUCAUCCUCAUCCCUUAUAUAUGCUGCAGCUGGGAAAUAGGUGGGGGCAGGUUUCUUUCUGAUGAGAAAGGGAAAGAUCUGCAGCUGCCUGCCGAAGCCACGCGUUUGGUCGCAGUUAGGCUGGAGCCCUGGCCCAGGGAAGCGUAUUAGAAGCAAACCCCUUAUUCUGAGUUAACUUUUUUCACGUGGUGAGUUACACAACCAGAGUGAGUGCCGCCUGCAGAGGGAGACGGAGAGACGAGUUAGUGGUGGCUGCUCGGAAUCCCUGUGUGUGCAGAAAUACGUGUAUAGAUAAAGACAGCAAAUCCACUUGAGAGAGAGGUAACUGGGACUGCACCAUCAUCAGAUUGAUUUCCAUUCCAGCACACAGGACGUAUUUACCUCCAGUCUGAGCUUCUAGGCUCCACCUGAUCUGUGCUCCGCAUGUGUAAAAGUACACGCAAGGCUUGGAGAGAGCUGCUGUUCCUGAGCCUCCAGAUGUGGAAUGCUGCUUUUCCUCUGCUGUCUGGCAAUUAUUGGCUUUGUGAGGUUGUCUCACAGCUGGCAGGAUAUCAGCUGCUCAAAUGUCACCUCCUCCUGUGCAGGAUGAAGCCAGCACUGCCUGCUGCCACAAGUAGGAGCUACUGUCCUGCUCAUACAGUCAAAAGCUUGUUCUGGCUGUCUACAGCCUCUCUGGAUCUGUGAUGGGACUGGAAGCAGUGUCCUUGCCUCUGGAUAUGGAGGAGCCUGUCUGGGAGGCGCCUACAGCAGGUUGCUUUUAUCCUUGUCCUGCGGGUGUUUAACCUGUUAGGUGUCAAGAACUGGUGUCUUAUGAUAGGAUGGGGGGCAGCUGGAACACAAGAAGUUCCACCUCAACAUGAGGAGAAACUUCUUUACUGUGAAGGUGCUGGAGGCCUGGAGCAGGCUGCCCAGAGAGGCUGUGGAGUCAUCUCCUCUGGAGACUUUCAGGACCCAUCUGGACAUGUUGCUGUGUGACCUGCUGUGGAUGACCCUGCUUUGGCAGGGGGUUUGGAGUCAAUGAUCUUUCGAGGUCCCUUUCAACACCUCUCAUUCUAUGAUUUGAGGCCUGAAAACUUGCAGAAAAUGGACAGAGUAAUUAACUUUAUUACACAGAAAAGAUGGGAGAAAAAAUCAAACUAUAUCCUAAAAGGAAAAUAUUUCUGUGCAGUGUCUGUCCUAACAGACAUCUCCAGGUGCUCUGUGGAGCUGGUCCAUGGCAAUACGGGCCACCAACAGAUCUGCCUGUGUGGGAGGAGAGGUUGGAGGAGACUAAUGAGCAAACUUUUCCUCCAUGAGCUGGGCAGGCUUCAGGCCUGGUGGCUCAGCUACCUGCUUGGCUCUCAGGCCACCUGCCCAGUCCUGACAGAGUGUGUGCUUCCCACCUGUCUCUGCUGGAAGAGGAAAUAAGUACAUCAUGCAAGGAGCACACAGAAAAGGUUGAUCUCAAAUCAUCAAUCACUAUGUUUUUGUAGAAGCCCCAGCCCAGCGGUUACAUCCCAGUGCAUUCCCAGCAGGUCAGGGAAGCCUCUCACCUCCCCACACAGCAGAGACAGCAACUCAGAUGCCCACAUCUGUUGGGACAGUGCUGCUCUUGGACCCAUGGUCCAAACUUUCCAGGGUUUAUGGAAACACGUGGUUACUUUUGCUUUGACACAGUGAGGACAACAUCAGCCUCAAUUAUUUCUUGCCUUGUUGCACAAUGUGGAGGUAUCCCCAGUUCACUGGCACUGGGACUUUCCCUCUUCCACUUCCCCCUUGUCCUCAUCCUCACAGGAAAACUGGCAGAGCGAGUCCUCUUAGGCUGAAACUGCCCCACCACUUUGGUGUGCUUCCACCAGAACAAGGUCCUCAUUAGCACUUAAUGACCAUCUUUCUCCCUGCUUCGCUGAUGUGCAUGUGCGUGACACAGAUCUGUCAGCAGCUGAUGACACACAGGAGUUAUUGAUAUGGUGUGGUGGUAACCCCAGCUCAGGCACACCCAGGGACGUGCUCCUCCACUCACUGCAGUUGUGCAGGUCACAUAGUCAUGGGAACUAGAUGAUCUUUAAAGUCCCUUCCAACCCAAACCAUUCUAUGAUUCAUCAGAAUCCAAUGGCUUUGUAUAAUUUACCAAAAAUCUGGUUUUUUUUCAUCUAACUCAUUAGCCCUCUUGCCUUGGACCUGUGGCUCAGUCCUCCUGAGUUCUUGAGUCACAGGUUGCUCAGAAACAAUUGCACAGAUACAGGGACACAUAUCCCUUGCUCUUGCUUUUCUUGGGUUCUGCACUAAAGCCAAAACUAUGAUUCUUUAAUCGUGCUUUCCUUAAUUAUUUUCAGCAUUCUUCUCUUUGCUGUCUGUUGUGGUUUGAGGGGUUCCAGGUUAUCUCAGAUUUCCCAAGCAAACUACAGAGACCGAGAUCCAUGCCAGGGGACGAACCGGUCACCCCCGGAUAUUGUAAUUAAGUUAUUCAAUCCCAGAAACCCUGCAAACACUUUAGAAGUCAGCAGCAAGGUCAAUUUGUACUCUUUUCUCCCUGCCUUUCCAACUCUCCAGAGGGAUUCUUAUCUGGUAACUAGGUAACUACAUAGGAGGACCCUGUAGUAGGCCACGGUCUUCAAGGCCAUGGGCUGCCACAGUAAAUCUGGCCUGCUCGUGGGAGACAAUGGGGGAUGGGAGAAGAUGUACACUGGGGUUUUGGUGGUUUAAGUUUGCCUGGGGGAAAGGUUUUGGGGGAAUUCUCAUGUAUCCUUUAUCUGUAUUAGGUGUUAAGGAUUCAUGUAUGCCAUAGCUUUUUCCUAAACAUCUUUAAAUGCAACCUUUCUGUAUUUUCAUCUCCAAUUCAGUGAGAGUCUUAUUAUUUCACUGCCCUUUCUUCUCUAGGAAUAGAGUAAAGUGAAAUAAUCUCAGUCUGUCACGCUCUUACACAGAAACCUCAGCAGAAUAAUGGUGGAGAAUGUGGGCAGAACCCAGCACAGCAUCAGAUAAAUUGCCUUUUUUUCCCAUGUGAUUAAAAGCAGGUGACAGGAACUUGUGUCCCAGCUGACCGUGUCUGCUUCUGUAGCAUCUGUCACUGCAGUGUAUCAACCACUCAGGCUGGCAGAAUGAGACCAUAGAUUUACUUUUUCACGUAAACAGAUGGAUUUUUACCAAUUUUUCUCUUUUACAUUGUUUUUUUACCUUUUCCUCUGUCCUGGGCACUCCAUUCCACAGCCAGAAAACUCACCUGACUCUGCAGUUGCGCUUUGGAAAGCACCACGUCAAAGAGCGUAGUGCUGAUCAGCAAAUCUCCUCCUUGACAUAUAUUUAGACUGAGACAUGCUGAUUUUUUACUUUGGUGUCACAAACAAGCAUCUGCUGCCGUGUUUGAUCUCCAGAGCAAGUGCCUGAUUACAGGCAGAGCAAAACCAAGCUGGAUUUUGUCCCACCUCAUUCUUGGUGACACCUUUGUAGGCCUGCUGAGGUUGGUGGUGUCACACAACACAAAGGCCGCGCUGUAAUUCGACUUUCUUUAUGGGUUGUGAUGCGAAGGUGGCAAGAAUUCAGCUCAGAUGCCAGCCUGGGUGCCAAAGUCUGACAGGAAAAGCCCUCGGGUGGUUUUUCACAUGGAACUGGGAUGUGCCUGGGUAAUGGGCAGCAGGCGCCUGCACAGCCCAAGCUGAGGUUAGCAGUGCUGGGUGAGCUUGGGCUUUGCAGUCCCAGGUAGAGAAACUUUGGGCACUGGCACAUUUGGCGUUUGCUGCAUCCAGAAUAAAGUAAAUGGAGCAGCUUUUGGAGCUCAUCUAAGUUUCACCUGCAGACAGAGCAGCAGCAGUUUGAUGAGGAGGGAGAUCUGCUGCUCUUGGUUUACAGUUUUAAAUGCUGUGGAAAGUUUAGUCUGCAAGAGGAUUAUUCCUUGAAGCAAUUUAAAAAUGAAUAAAAGGCAUUUCUGCUGACAGAAAUGUCCUCUAAAGGGGGUGUGUUGUCAGGAAGAAAGGAUUUUGCACCAUUUCCAUUUUUUAACUGUUUGGCAGAGAUUUAAACAGGUAUAGGAAAAAAAACUGCUUAGUGUGGAGCUGUGGGGUCCAUUUUCUUUGUAAGCACAGGGUUGGUAGUGCUGUGCUGUUACACCAGAUUGCUGCCCAGGAUGUUUUUGCUUCCAAUUUCCAGUGCCUACAAAUGCAUUUGGUCUCUGCUGUGUCAUCAUCUUGCAGUCAGAGUGCCCUUGGUCACCCAAAGCACCUGAGCUUUCAGCAUCUCCAUUCUGUAAUCCCACCUGAGGCUCACUCCAGCUGCCUCCCGGCAGUCACAGCCUGCAGAUGCUUGGUGCAUCCCUGCACUAGCAGUGGUGGAUAGUGGAGGACUGCAGCUGGCAAGCUGCAGUCUGCUAGCACAGUAAAGACCUUAAAGCUGCUGUUUGUGAAGAGCUAUGAUUAGUUGGACUGAGAUGCCACCACCUUAUCUAAAUGUUACCAUGUCUCCUUGCAAGUAUGGUACACCUUCCU